rnacentral:rRNA from 1 species
UUGAACGCUGGCGGAAUGCUUUACACAUGCAAGUCGAACGGCAGCACGGACUUCGGUCUGGUGGCGAGUGGCGAACGGGUGAGUAAUAUAUCGGAACGUGCCCAGUCGUGGGGGAUAACGUAGUGAAAAUUACGCUAAUACCGCAUACGAUCUAAGGAUGAAAGCGGGGGAUCGCAAGACCUCGCGCGAUUGGAGCGGCCGAUAUCAGAUUAGGUAGUUGGUGAGGUAAAGGCUCACCAAGCCAACGAUCUGUAGCUGGUCUGAGAGGACGACCAGCCACACUGGAACUGAGACACGGUCCAGACUCCUACGGGAGGCAGCAGUGGGGAAUUUUGGACAAUGGACGCAAGUCUGAUCCAGCCAUUCCGCGUGCAGGACGAAGGCCUUCGGGUUGUAAACUGCUUUUGUACAGAACGAAAAGGUCUCUAUUAAUACUAGGGGCUCAUGACGGUACUGUAAGAAUAAGCACCGGCUAACUACGU